CAAAGGCAGCACCUACCACGUGCCUGAGCGCUGAGCUGGGCACGAAGAACACAGAGACAAAAGAUGUGAUCAGAGAUGGUACCUGGCACAGGACCUGUCAUGACUGCUGUGUUCAGGAACAAAAGAAUACCCAUUUGACCUCUUCAUCCAUUAACUAAUAAGGAAACUGAAGCACAAGGAGUUUGUAUAAGUUACUCAAGGCAGGAGCUGAGACCCAAUCCUGGCAGAAACGCUGGACUAUUGAAACACUCCUGGUCAACUGUAUCUGCCUCCUAAGGGACUCACGCCAGCCCUUCUCUCCACCAAAACCAAAGUCAACGUCAUGCAGCAGAGACUGGAUCAUGAUGCUGAAUUUGUAGAUACAUUUUGGGAGAACUGGUGUUGUUACAAUAUUGAGUCUUCCUAUCCAUUUACAUGGUAUAUCUAUCCAUUCGCUUAGGACUUCUUUAAAGUCUUUUGGUAAAAUUUUUCUCUCAUAAAGGACAUAAAUUAACAUAUUUUUAAAAGCUUAAUUAGGCAUUAUAUAUUUCUAUAAAUGGUGAUUUAACAUUUCCUAACAGUUUGUUGCUAUGAUUUAUAAUGACAAUUGAAGAUACUUCUCUUAUUCCACUGAACUUGCCUCCACAUACAGCCAGAGCCAGAGACCCAGGCGUGAUCUACUCCCUUGCCACUCCUUCCAGUCUGCAACCUUGUCUGAUAGAUUCUAUCUGAGUGGAUGUUUUGUCCCCACCUCCAGGCCUCAGUGUAGGCCUCAUUAUUUUUGGCCUGGAGUGAUUCCUAACUGAUUUCCCAAUCAACCUUCACAUAGUCAGGGCUACUGCCAACUGUUACUGCAGAUUUGUGCAAAUAGAAAAAGGUAUCGCUUCCUCAUGACACUCUACCUCCAUAUGUCAAAUAAUCAUUGUAAUAAAUAUUCAAAUAUAUGAUGUCUACGAUUUGAUUUGUGGUUGGU